UGGUGGAGUGAUUUGUCUGCUUAAUUGCGAUAACGAACGAGACCUUAACCUGCUAAAUAGUCACGUCAUUUCCGAAUGACGGCGGACUUCUUAGAGGGACUAUCGGAUUUAAACCGAUGGAAGUUUGAGGCAAUAACA
rnacentral:rRNA from 1 species